rnacentral:rRNA from 1 species
UGGGGAAUAUUGCACAAUGGGCGCAAGCCUGAUGCAGCCAUGCCGCGUGUAUGAAGAAGGCCUUCGGGUUGUAAAGUACUUUCAGCGGGGAGGAAGGGAGUAAAGUUAAUACCUUUGCUCAUUGACGUUACCCGCAGAAGAAGCACCGGCUAACUCCGUGCCAGCAGCCGCGGUAAUACGGAGGGUGCAAGCGUUAAUCGGAAUUACUGGGCGUAAAGCGCACGCAGGCGGUUUGUUAAGUCAGAUGUGAAAUCCCCGGGCUCAACCUCGGAACUGCAUCUGAUACUGGCAAGCUUGAGUCUCGUAGAGGGGGGUAGAAUUCCAGGUGUAGCGGUGAAAUGCGUAGAGAUCUGGAGGAAUACCGGUGGCGAAGGCGGCCCCCUGGACGAAGACUGACGCUCAGGUGCGAAAGCGUGGGGAGCAAACAGG